UACGUAGGUGGCAAGCGUUGUCCGGAUUUACUGGGCGUAAAGGAUGCGUAGGCGGACAUUUAAGUCAGAUGUGAAAUACCCGAGCUUAACUUGGGUGCUGCAUUUGAAACUGGGUGUCUAGAGUGCAGGAGAGGUAAGUGGAAUUCCUAGUGUAGCGGUGAAAUGCGUAGAGAUUAGGAAGAACACCAGUGGCGAAGGCGACUUACUGGACUGUAACUGACGCUGAGGCAUGAAAGCUAGGGGAGCGAAUGGG
rnacentral:rRNA from 1 species